UGGGGGAUUUUGGACAAUGGGCGAAAGCCUGAUCCAGCAAUGCCGCGUGUGUGAAGAAGGCCUUCGGGUUGUAAAGCACUUUUGUCCGGAAAGAAAUCCUUGGCUCUAAUACAGUCGGGGGAUGACGGUACCGGAAGAAUAAGCACCGGCUAACUACGUGCCAGCAGCCGCGGUAAUACGUAGGGUGCAAGCGUUAAUCGGAAUUACUGGGCGUAAAGCGUGCGCAGGCGGUUUGCUAAGACCGAUGUGAAAUCCCCGGGCUCAACCUGGGAACUGCAUUGGUGACUGGCAGGCUAGAGUAUGGCAGAGGGGGGUAGAAUUCCACGUGUAGCAGUGAAAUGCGUAGAGAUGUGGAGGAAUACCGAUGGCGAAGGCAGCCCCCUGGGCCAAUACUGACGCUCAUGCACGAAAGCGUGGGGAGCAAACAGGAUUAGAUACCCUGGUAGUCCACGCCCUAAACGAUGUCAACUAGUUGUUGGGGAUUCAUUUCCUUAGUAACGUAGCUAACGCAUGAAGUUGACCGCCUGGGGAGUACGGUCGCAAGAUUAAAACUCAAAGGAAUUGACGGGGUCAUAGCUGUUUCCU
rnacentral:rRNA from 1 species